AGAACAAUCAAAGGGGAGUAGCUUGCAGGCAGUCCCCCUGCCUGAGACAAAGUCGUCAUGACGAGGAGUGAUCCUCCGGCUUUGUUGAGCCUAGUGCUUAGCGAGACCUUUGCCAUUAUUUCCAAUGGCAGAGGUCUCUUUUAUUUUUGUCCAAAAGGGACAU
rnacentral:sRNA from 2 species